rnacentral:rRNA from 5 species
CCUGGCGGCAGUAGCGCGGUGGUCCCACCUGACCCCAUGCCGAACUCAGAAGUGAAACGCCGUAGCG